GAUGAACGCUAGCUACAGGCUUAACACAUGCAAGUCGCGGGGCAGCAUGGGGGUUGCUUGCAAUCCCCGAUGGCGACCGGCGCACGGGUGAGUAACGCGUAUUCAACCUGCCCUUCACCACGGGAUAACCCGGCGAAAGUCGGACUAAUACCGUAUGUUGUCCAUUGACGGCAUCCGAUUUGGACGAAAGGCUUGGCGGUGAGGGAUGGGGAUGCGUCCGAUUAGCCAGACGGCGGGGUAACGGCCCACCGUGGCUACGAUCGGUAGGGGUUCUGAGAGGAAGGUCCCCCACACUGGAACUGGGACACGGUCCAGACUCCUACGGGAGGCAGCAGUGAGGAAUAUUGGUCAAUGGGCGUAAGCCUGAACCAGCCAAGUAGCGUGCAGGAUGACGGCCCUAUGGGUUGUAAACUGCUUUUAUGCGGGGAUAAAGUGGCCCACGUGUGGGCUUUUGCAGGUACCGCAUGAAUAAGGACCGGCUAAUUCCGUG
rnacentral:rRNA from 1 species